rnacentral:rRNA from 1 species
AGGACGAACGCUGGCGGCGUGCCUAACACAUGCAAGUCGAACGAGGUCCAACCGGUAGCAAUACCGGUGAAGACCAAGUGGCGAACGGGUGAGUAGCACGUGAGCAACCUGCCCCGAAGACCGGGACAACACCGGGAAACCGGUGCUAAUACCGGAUAUCCCCACCGAGUCGCAUGGCUUGGUGAGGAAAUGGAUUCCGCUUCGGGAGGGGCUCGCGGCCUAUCAGCUUGUUGGUGAGGUAACGGCUCACCAAGGCUUCGACGGGUAGCUGGUCUGAGAGGACGAUCAGCCACACUGGGACUGAGACACGGCCCAGACUCCUACGGGAGGCAGCAGUGGGGAAUCUUGCACAAUGGGCGAAAGCCUGAUGCAGCAACGCCGCGUGAGGGACGAAGGCUUUCUGAGUUGUAAACCUCUUUCAGCAGGGACGAUUGUGACGGUACCUGCAGAAGAAGCCCCGGCAACUACGUGCCAGCAGCCGC